rnacentral:pre_miRNA from 1 species
AUACAAAUCACCUGGGGAUCUGGUUGAAAUGCAGAUUCUGAAUCAGCAGAUCCAGGAUGAUGCCUGAGAUUCUGCAUUUCUCACAAGCUUUCAGGUGAUGUCCAU